UUCAAAAAAAAAAAAAAAACCAACCUGGCCUGGACCACUGCCAAGAGCUGCUCCAAAACUGACUCUAACUGUUCCAUUUGCUCUUGUGAUAAAUAGGAUGGUUUAAUGGAAACACUGUACACAAAACUGUACUGCUAGGAUAACAGUAUUACCAGACUCUCCAGCUACAGAAAUAGCAGACAAAAAGCAAAUUCUCUCUCUUCACACAAGGAAAUGAGGAACAGCUCCACAGGGCAGAUGUGGAAGAAGAGCCAAAAUCUAUUCCCUGUAGAAUCCUCCUUAAAUGUUUAUCUUCCACUGAAAACACAAGUUUACAGACCAGCAUCCUGAGGAUAUAAAAAACAGCAUGGACUAGCAUCUGUCAUACCAAGAGAUGAACUCUUGGCAUGGAAAUGUCUCAUGGGGGAGCUCUG